UGUGUAGCUCUGGUUUGUUUUUGCAAAGGCUGACUUGGAUGUUGUUUUUUUUGUUUUAUUUUAAACCCUUGACUCUUGUGAAUGUGCAGUUAGUGAGCUAAGCUCUAGAGUUGAUGUAAUUGGCAAUUACUAAUAAAUCCGAAAAGGUCUCAGAAAGAUAUCGUUUAAGAUUAUGUUUCCCACAACAUUUGAUUAGUUACAGUAAUUCUCUCUGAAUUUGUGUUGGAAGGAGAUAAAGAUGGGAGACUUGAGAGGAUUCUAUUGGAUUUCAUGUUUUGGAGCAUUGAUAAUCAUGCACCAGCAAAUGUGAUGCUAGUCCUUGGAGACUACAGCUCAAGUUGCGACGAGUUUAUAUGUGCUCUUAACCAUUUGAAUUUGGCAUGUUACAACAUUCACUUUGCACAUCCUCAAAAAGAUG